AUCCCAUGAUGAGGACAUUGAUUGAGCAGCCCGUUGAAUCUCUCCCAUGCUUCACAAAACGACUCAUCAUCUUGUUGUGCAAAUAGAAAGAUCUUGUCCCUAAGCAU
rfam:Prunus persica cultivar Lovell unplaced genomic scaffold scaffold_54, whole genome shotgun sequence.